rnacentral:rRNA from 1 species
CACCAGGUUGAUUCUGCCUGACGUAUGCGCUUGUCUUGAAGAUUUAGCCAUGCAAGCCAGCGAAGCAUUUAAUGUGGAGCGGCAGACAGCUCAGUAAUACAGUUAUGAUUUACCCGUAGAAGUAGGAUAACCUUGGUAACCUAAGGCUAAUAACUACAUAGCGAAUAGUAAUUUUGAAGGUUACGUUCGUGAUAUGGCUAAGUUUCUGACCUAUUAGCUUGUUGGUAGGGUAAAGGCCUACCAAGGCGAUGAUGGGUAACGGAGAAUCAGGGUUCGAUUCCGGAGAGGGAGCCUGAGAAAUAGCUCCCACGUCCAAGGAUGGCAGCAGGCGCGAAAAUUACCCAAUAUAAUAUUAUGAGGUAGUGAAGAGACAUGACUAGUAGUGGGGGGUGUGUAAAAUACAUCCCGUACAACUGGAGGGCAAGUCUGGUGCCAGCAGCCGCGG